ensembl:lncRNA
UGGAAAUAGAAUCUCUGUAUUGAUUCAGGUAAAAACUGAACUUCACAGCAUGUUGAAGCAAAACAACCAGAUGAAAACUGUGAUGGUGUUGGAUUGUCAGACCGUAAUGUUGCAGCUCAAAGCAGCUUUUCUAGCUCAGUUCAUUCUGACAUUCAGCUAUGAAUCAACACAGCAGAUGGUGAUCUAUGCUGUGGAAGUCUCACAUCUCCUGAUUUAAUGGAGCUGCUUUGCACUUUUUACACUGUUUAUUCACCAACACUUUAUUUAAUAAAAGUCCCAUCUAGUUUGUAUGAGGAAUGUGAUGUUUUAAUUUCUCUGUGAAUAACUGCAGUCUAAUGCAACAGCUGGAAUUGUAACAUCUGUCCUGAUAUUGAUCAUGAAGUAUUGAUCAGAAUACUUAUGGUCAGCAGUCAUCCCUGAAGUUUUAUAUUAAAAUCUUUACUUGUGUUGUGAACUUUGGUAAGAAGCAGAAAUGUUAGCGUUGCCAUGGAUACAUGAGUGUUAAAUUCUGUCCAUGUUUCAUUUUGGGAAAUGCAGUCCAGUUCCAGAAUGUGGAGGAAUUUAGUCUCACAAUCACAGACAACAAAUAUUAUCUGAAAGUCGGGUUAUUGUUGUUUAUCAGCACAAUACAAAAAAGAUUAAUGUUAGAAAUAUUCCAGUUAAGACUCUAGAAUAUGAUGAUUUAUGUAAAUUUACCUCAAUAAUAUGAAUGUUCAGGUUAAGAUUGUGCAAUUAUUUUUAUUAUGUAAGUUUAGCUGAUUAAAGUUUAUGACUGCACUAAAAUACUAUUUAAAUUUACAUCAUUAUAAUAUUUAGGGUCAGACCCUACAGUAUUGAGAUUAAGAAAUCAAAUAUUCUAUAAAAUGUAAAUACACUGAACUCAUUUGGAUCUAUUUAAGUGAGACUCUACAAUAUUAUGUGACACAAAUCUAUCUAAAUCAAAAUUUUAAUAAUUUUCACGCCAAACAUUUACUGGACUGAUUUAAAUAUUAACAUCACUCCUUUCUAAUCCUCUGCUGUAUGUUCAAACCUGAGGCCUUAAACAGAAACACAAGUAUCUGUUUGAAGGAACUUCUGCAGAGUCCUGGUUCCACAACAUGAUGAUAGAAUUAUAGACAAACUUUAACAAAAGCUGCCUGAGAGUUUACAGGUUUUUAUGUUGGAUUUCUUCAGUAAUUUAAUGAGAGUUGUCAGCAAAAAUCAAGUGUUCAUUUGAUGAACUUCAUUUCCUAAAACAUCCAGAAUUGGAGCUCAUAUCUUUGGCAGCUGUAAAGUUUCUGCUCCUUCAAAGUUCACAACACAAUGAAUGAAUUCCUAAAACACUCUCAAUGCUGGAGAGCGUCUGUGAUGCUGAAGCAGUGACCAGUUUUUCUGUUUCUUCUCUGGAGAUACACAAUGAGGGACGUCUGCAGCGACUGAGAAAGAGUCUCACCACAUCCUGACAUGAGGAAAAAGACUUUAUUGAAGACUACAAUGAGAAAAACUAUCAGACAGCAGACGGCUGCAUUCAAGAGAAGAAGACCAUCAAACAUCCACGUCAGCUGAUGGAGGUCCAAGAGUCUCACCCAACAAACAACCUACAGAGUGAAGACCUUGAAUCUGAUUGGAUGGCCUCCUAUUCAGCCACAUUUUAGGCUGUUAGAUUGUUCCAGAUAAGACAAGUACAAGAUUCUUCAGAGCCGUUCUACCACGAGCCUGACAGGAAGAACUCCAACAGCUACU